rnacentral:misc_RNA from 1 species
GUAAACUUUAUAGUUAGAAAAUAAUUAGUAAAUCCUGAAGAAGUAGAAAUGAAAACACACCUAUACCACAAAUAGAAUUAUUUUCCUCAACUUCAUUACAUUUUGUGAAGAAAACUAAACAUAUAAAAUCAAGAGGGAGAAAAAGAAAAGGGAGAAAACUGAAAAGCUGCUUUGAUUUAGCAUCAUAACUACACUAAACUUAAUGUUUAGAGAGAGCUCAGGAGGGAUAGAGAGGAGAGAAGAACUUCCACAAUUCAAAGUAGGGUAUUCAUUUUCUGCACCUCUUUAAAGGUGUAAGAUGCAAUCAUAACCACAAUGAAUACCUUCUCGGACUUGCAAGGUCAAGAAAACUCGAGCUGCCUUUGUGGAGUUCGAAGAAGAAGAAAGGAGAUAUAAGAAGGAUAAGCUCAGGAGAGAUAUUGCCAUAGCUUUUACAGCAUCAAAUUACAACUAUGGUUUAUUAUUUCUGUAUGGCAUGGACCAAGAUCGACCAUGGCCACAGAAACAAGUACUUGAGCCAUGGUAGCUAGGAACAAGAAGGAGAACACAGGAGAGGACCUGGACCAAGGCUCGGAGAUAAUAGAUAGGUGUAGCAUUUUGACCUUUGGCUGAUCAGGGCCAUGAAUAUGAUGAGGAAUGUUUUAUGUGGU